GGCGAGGUAGCUCAGUGGAAGAGCAGGGGACUCAUAAGCCCUUGGUCGGCGGUUCAAUCCCGCCCCUCGCCA
rnacentral:tRNA from 1 species